CUGAGGGUUCACCAAGUUGCUGAUGAGUCUCUAGAAAGUACAAGGAGAAUCCUGGGUUUAGCCAUUGAGUCUCAGGAUGCAGGAAUCAAGAUCAUCACAAUACUGGAUAAACAAGGGGAACAACUCAACCACAUAGAAGACAUGGGCCACAAAAAUACAGACAUGAGAGAGGCAGAGAAGACUUUAACAGAACUUAACAAAUGCCAUGCCCUUCGUGUCUGUCCACAUAAUAGAACAAAGAACUUU
rnacentral:lncRNA from 1 species